CUAAGUUUGAUGGCGACCGGCGCACGGGUGAGUAACACGUAUCCAACCUGCCGAUGACUCCGGAAUAGCCUUUCGAAAGAAAGAUUAAUACCGGAUGGCAUACGAAUAUCGCAUGAUAUUUUUAUUAAAGAAUUUCGGUUAUCGAUGGGGAUGCGUUCCAUUAGUUUUGUUGGCGGGGUAACGGCCCACCAAGACUACGAUGGAUAGGGGUUCUGAGAGGAAGGUCCCCCACAUUGGAACUGAGACACGGUCCAAACUCCUACGGGAGGCAGCAUG
rnacentral:rRNA from 1 species